rnacentral:snRNA from 1 species
GUGCUUGCUUCAGCAGCACAAAUACUAAAAUUUGAAUGAUACAGAGAAGAUUAGC